rnacentral:rRNA from 1 species
CAGUCGCCGCGGUAAUACGAAGGGUGCAAGCGUUAAUCGGAAUUACUGGGCGUAAAGCGUGCGUAGGCGGUUUGUUAAGUCUGUUGUGAAAUCCCCGGGCUCAACCUGGGAAUGGCAAUGGAUACUGGCAAGCUAGAGUGUGUCAGAGGAUGGUGGAAUUCCCGGUGUAGCGGUGAAACGCGUAGAGAUCGGGAGGAACAUCAGUGGCGAAGGCGGCCAUCUGGGACAACACUGACGCUGAGGCACGAAAGCGUGGGGAGCAAACAGGAUUAGAUACCCGAGUAGUCCCUGUCUCUUAUAC